rnacentral:rRNA from 1 species
GAUGAACGCUGGCGGCGUGCCUAAUACAUGCAAGUCGAGCGAACAGACGAGGAGCUUGCUCCUCUGACGUUAGCGGCGGACGGGUGAGUAACACGUGGAUAACCUACCUAUAAGACUGGGAUAACUUCGGGAAACCGGAGCUAAUACCGGAGAAUAUAUUGAACCGCAUGGUUCAAUAGUAAAAGACGGUUUUGCUGUCACUUAUAGAUGGAUCCCCGCCGCAUUAGCUAGUUGGUAAGGUAACGGCUUACCAAGGCAACGAGGCGUAGCCGACCUGAGAGGGUGAUCGGCCACACUGGAACUGAGACACGGUCCAGACUCCUACGGGAGGCAGCAGUAGGGAAUCUUCCGCAAUGGGCGAAAGCCUGACGGAGCAACGCCGCGUGAGUGAUGAAGGUCUUCGGAUCGUAAAACUCUGUUAUUAGGGAAGAACAAAUGUGUAAGUAACUAUGCACGUCUUGACGGUACCUAAUCAGAAAGCCACGGCUAACUACGUG